AUGAAAUAAAAAGGGGAAGAAAAUAAUAAUUGUGAUGAGGAAUUAAUGAUAUUUAUAAUGAAAUAAAUGAUUUUGAUGAUAAUAUUUGCUGAUGAUAUUCUAGUUUGAAACAAACAGAACUCUUCAGAAUUGGACCUAGAAUUCUUAAAAGAUUGUCUAAAUUCUGUAUAACCUGCUAUUGGAUGGAAGCCACAGCGCUCCAUUUUUUUUUUAUUACAUUUUUUUGUUUUGUUUCUUGGGUGAUUUGUUAAUUAACUGUGUCUCCUUUUAUUGUACAGUGUUGUCUUGAUUAGUUUUUAGUGGUGAACAACUUACACUAUAACUAAUCAUUUCAACAGUUCCUUGCAAAUUUUUUUUGUUUUUUUUUUGUAGUAUUCAAUAUUUUGCAUAAUUUUUUUUGUUUUGCAUUGUUAACCCAUUCUGUUGUUUCAAUGAAGUUUGCUGGUCAUCACAAGUAGAUACCUUGACAUUCACCUUCCUAAGCAAGCAGAUUCUCUCUGGUGUUGCUCUUUUAUAUCUUCUAUACUAUUUUGUAUUUUUUCUUAGUCAUCUAUGGGACAGUGUACUGAGUUGGUUAAAUACAGCUAUGUCAAUGGAGUUGUCACACUAGUCUUCGCUAUGCAUUGACAUUUGGAUCCUUAUAAAUUAUUCACUUCUCCAAUUUAUUCCACGGAUGCCUAUAAAGAUAAGUUGAUUAUUACAGUAGUGGUCCCCAUGCUAUCAACUUGGAUCAGUUAUCAAAACUGUAGAUCCAAUAAAAUGUCUUGAAAGUAGUUUGUAUAUUGGUCUCCACUUUAGAAGUAUUCCAAGUUGAUUACAGAUAAAGGUGAAGUAACAAUAUAAUAGCUAAAAUUAAACAGUUGUAUUUGGCAAAACAAAAGAUUCUAAGCACACUUUGUUAUCAGAAUUAACAUUGCAGUUAUGUCGUUAAAGAAAGGGGCACAAGAUCAUGAGAUAAAUCACUUAGUAACCUGUUUACUUUUUCUGUUAACCCUACCAACACCAUUAUUGUUAUCAUCAUCAUCAUCAUUAUUAUUAUUAUUAUUAUUAUUAUUAUUAUUAUUAUUAUUAUUAAGGUGAUGAGAUGGCAGAAUCAUUAGCAUGCUGGAUAUGAAAUGCUUAGCGGUAUUUCACCUGUCUUUAUGUUCUGAGUUCAAAUUCCACUGCGGUCGACUUUGCCUUUCAUCCUUUGUGGGGGGGGGUCGAUAAAUUAAGUACCAGUUGAGUACUGGAGACGAUGUAAUCAACUACCCCUCCCUCCUACUACACAAUUUCAGGCUUUGUGCUUUGAAUAGAAAGGAUUAUUAUUCAAACAGUGAGCUGGCAGAAUUGUUAGAACACCAGAAAAAAAAAAAAUGCUUUAUUUUUAAUUUUUAUUUUUUUACAGUUCUUUAUUCUGAGUUUAAACCCCUUCUGUGGUCAACUUUGCUCUUCGUCUCUCAAGGGUUGACAGUACUGACUAAUCCCUUCCUUCCCAAAAUUGUUAGCAGUUAUUGUUAUUAAGGUGGCAAGCUGACAGGAUUAUUAGCAUAUUCAGCAAAACGCUUAGUGUCAGUUCUCCUGGCUUUUUAUGUUCUGAGGUUCAAAUGCCACCGAUGUACACUUUGCCCUUCAGUUUUUUUUUUUUUGACACUUAAGAAUUUAUUGAACACGGGUCCAGUGUAAUCUGAUGGACCUAUCCUCAGACAUUUGAAACCAUUCUUAUCCAUAGUAAUAGCAGUAGCAGUUUUGGAAGGGCCUACCUGACUUUUGUUGUUUAUUUGUCAGUGGUCCCUCAGCAUUAGGGAGUUGGACGGGGUCGGGGGGGGGGAGAGAUCAGCUUUCAAGUUGUACUAUAAUCUGUUUCAGCUCUUGAAUCAGCUCUUCUUCUUAAUCACUGACUUUCCUCGUUAAUCAUUUUGGUGACUUGAUUACUCUAUCAACAAACACUCUCUUCUCUCUUUUGGGGUUCAGAGCAGGUUUUCGUCCUCUCUCUCUCUCUCUCUCUCUUUGAUUAUUAAACAUUACAUCAGUAAUUGUUUUCCCUCUUUAACAAAUGGCUAAUUAUCAUUUUUUUUUUUUUUUUUAAAUUCAUUAAUUUGACUAAUAUUUUUGUGCUUUUAUUGUCUAUUAUUUUUUUUGUGUUUUAAUUUAUUUUUUUUACUUGUUUCUGUUGGUUUUAGUCAGGUUUUUUUUUUUUUUUUUCUUAGCAAACUGAAUAAACACAUUUGAUAGUUCAUGUGUUUGUGCCCUGUAUCUGUCUGUCUGUCUGUUAGUGUUUCUAAGCAACAUGGUGAAAUGGGAAAGGGGUCUUGACUGUCACAUGAAUCUAAAACCCAUUUUAAAGAUGUUUCUCAACUUUGUUAUUUUACAUUAUAAAACUUACACAAAAAUUUGUGAUAAUAAUAAUAAUAAUAAUAAUAAUAAUAAUAAUAAUGAUGAUGGUGGUGAUGUUGAAAGUUGACUAGAAGAAAAAGGCUUUUUUUUUUUUUUUUACUGUCAUAUAAAGGAAACCAUUUUGGCCUUUUUGUAUUGGUUGAUACAAGAAAUUUGUCUUAUGAAUGAGUUUAUGUGGAUGGUCUUGUAGUGUGCUGGGCUACUUAACCCCUCUAUGUGUGUGUUUGUACUUAUUUCUCAGAUUAGAUGUCUCAAGCCAACAAAUUGACUCUUUAGAGAAUUAAUUCCCUGCCGCUUUUAUUCUUUGUGAUAGUUGCUCAGUUAUUCAACUCUUUUGAUGCUGACCUGCUUAAUACAGGUGUUGGUUCUAUAAUACAGAUUCCCUAUUUGGAAACCAUCUAAAUUAAAACCUUCCCUCAACAUUUUAUGCUAAAUAGGCUUCCAAUCAACCAACUUCAUAAUGGCAGUUAUUUUAAUGAAAUUCAUUAUUUUCUAAAUUAAUUGAAAUAAAAGCAUUCAGAUUCAGUGUUUGUAUGGUGACAAAUUUAAUAGGUAAUAUAUUUGAAAUAGAAAAGAACCUUUAAACUUUUGAAAACUGUAGCUUGGGCUGUAAACAUUGUCAGGGAUAUUGAAAUUGCACUAAUUUUGUCUCAGAAUAGUCUCAGGCAGGUUGUUAUCAAAAUGGUUGAACUGAAUUUUCUAAUUAGUAAUUUCGUUAUAAACAUUAAAAAAUUUUAAACUGUGAGGAGUUUAAAUCUUGCUGGCAUGAACCUUUACCUUGUGUUCGUUUCCGUGUGUCUUUAUUAUUAUGACCACCACUAUUGAAACCUGCUGUGACUCCAUUACAUCACAGUUAAGUGUGUUUGUGUUUUUUUUACCUAGAUGGGAAGUUUAGGCAAGAUUCUACACUCGGAUUAGGCUGCUUUCGGCAUAAAAAACAGGCUAAUCUGUUCCUAUCACCAACCCUUAUUUUGUGGUGAGGUGCACAUUUAGUUAGUUAUAUAGUUGAGAAGCUUGCUUCCUAGCUCUGUAGUUUCAGGUUACUACUGCACAACACCUUAGGUAAGUGUUUUCUAUAGGUGCAGAUGUUGUUUUGCACUUAGUCCAACUGCAUAACACUUUAGGCAAGUGUCUUUUGCUAUAGCCCCAGGUUAACAAAAGUCUUAUGAUUGGCUAGAGACUGAAAAAUAUGUUGUAUACAUACAUUUAUAUAUGAUAUAUAUAUAUAUAUAUGUGUUUGAAUGUAUUGUUGUCUUGACAUCACAUGAUGGUUUUGAUGAAGCAUCACAGUCAUAAAAAGCAGUGCUCAUUUCCAGUCCUCUGUAAAAAGAAAAGAAAAAAAAAAUACUUGGUUAUGGGGAGAUAAUACCUUGGAAACAAGAAGGUCAGAAUUUCUGCCUCAGGGAAUUGUAUCUGACCUAUGCAAGCAUGAAAAGUGGGCAUUAAAAAAAUGGUGAAUGAUGGGGGGAAAAAAAAAAAAUUGAUGAUCUUUGAAAGUACAGAGGGACCAGUCACAAUGUGCACAGACUGUGAUGUCAAUGUCAUCAAACACAUGUCUGGGUUUCCUACCGUUUCUCUCUACCAAAUUCAGUCAGAAUGUUUUGGUUGGCUCUCAAGGCUUGAGUAGAAGACUCUUGCCGAAGGUGCUAUGCAGUGGAACUGAACUCCAACCCACAUAGCUGCAAGGUGAAACCUACAACCAUGCCUAAAAUGUUGUUGCUUAUUUAUAAAAGCACAUCCCCCCCCCCCAAUCGAUUUAUGUGUAUUCUAUAGCUUACUUCCAACACCAGCUGCUGACUAGACAUGGCUGUAAAUAGUGGAACCACAAAAUAACCAAGACAAAAUUACUGUUUUCAUGAAACUCAGCAGGUAAGAUAAUCAAGCUUCCAGCUUCGUUGUCCUAAGUUGAAGCUCACUACAGGUGUUUUGUGAUUUAUCUGUUGUUUCUCACCUGUUAAGAGAAACAUAAGUAUUGGUAUCUUGGAGAUUUCUGACAGAUCUGAUCACCCUAGCUGAAACAAAUCACUUUCAAAUAUUUGUGUUGAACAGUUCAGUUCUGAAGGUUUUGACAAAUCCCUUUUCUUUUUCUCCCACACCCCUAAAACUGCUACAAACUUGGAAAAAUAAAAUUAAAAACUGAUAAUGGUAGCAUCUUGUCAUGAGAUCUGCUUGUUCUCUCUACUAUAACUAUUCUGUUCUCUCGUUUCUAGCUAUCCUUUGUUGCACUGAAAACUUUAAGGAUCUUAUUUUCUUAAGUUCUCAAUUAUGACAAACCUAAAAUCUUAAUGGUUCAAAUCUUUUAAUAAAUUCAAGAGUUGAAGAGAACAUUUUAAAUAAUUUUUUUUUUUUUUUUUUUUUGUGAGUGUUUGCAUGUUGCUGUCAUUGUUUUUCUUUUAACCCAUUCCGUUUUCUUUUUAAAUAAUGAUUUUGACAAAACACAAGACCAUUUCCUCUUUAACCCCCCCCCCUCCAACUUCCUUCCAAACAAGAAAGAACAAGCUGAUUCAGUUAAUGUCAGUUGUGUACUUGUUUGUUCCAUUUGUUUCAUGUCCAUUUCCCAAUGCUGGUAUGAGUUGGGUGGAUACUUAUUUAAAGCAUAUUUUACAACCUG
rnacentral:lncRNA from 1 species